CUGCCAGCCGCCGCGGUAACACGGAGGGUGCAAGCGUUACCCGGAUUUACUGGGCGUAAAGGGCGCGUAGGCGGUCGCGCAAGUCGGGUGUGAAAGCCCCGGGCUCAACCUGGGAAUUGCAUUCGAUACUGCGUAACUAGAGUCUGGUAGAGGGAAGCGGAAUUCCGCAUGUAGCGGUGAAAUGCGUAGAUAUGCGGAGGAACACCAGUGGCGAAGGCGGCUUCCUGGACCAAGACUGACGCUGAGGCGCGAAAGCGUGGGGAGCAAACAGGAUUAGAUACCCUGGUAGUCCACGCCCUAAACGAUGAGGACUAGACGUUGGGGGGAUAAAACCCUUUAGUGUCGCAGCUAACGCGUGAAGUCCUCCGCCUGGGGAGUACGGCCGCAAGGUUGAAACUCAAAUGAAUUGACGG
rnacentral:rRNA from 1 species